GUCUGUGAGGGCGAUCUGGCUGCAACAUCAGUCACCCCAUUCUUGCCAGGGUUGAUUUGGCUGAUCCAGCUGGCUAGGUGGGGGUCACCUUCUUCCCUCAUGCUCCAUGUGCAUCCCUCCAGAAGCUGCCCACUCAGUCUAAUUCCCCGAAUAGAGGAGGACCGAUCUCUGGUCAAGGGCACACGAGUAACUGUACUCCCCUGCUAGAACCACCAAACAAGCUCUCAGAGUUUACACACAGAAGCCAGUACCAUUAGGAAGUGGGACAAACAUUCUGAGAAGGAAAU
rnacentral:snRNA from 1 species